UCUCUCUCUCUCUUCCCCUGUCCCACCAAGCUCCAUGUCUUCUUUCCAUCUCUCUCUCUGGUCCCCAAAGCUCUUUCUCCGUCUCCCCUAUUUUUACUGCGCCCCCCUUUCCACCAAGCGCUCAACGUGGAACCCAAUGCAAAAAGUGCAAGGACGAGGGAUAGAUCAGAAUCAGCCAUAAUCUCUAACCAAAAUCAGAAUGGAAUGAAAGUUAUCAAAGUUUCCAUGUUUCUUGUUGGAUUAGCUUGAGGCAUGAGGGUUGGAUCAACAAUGAAUAUGGACUUGAGGCUUGGGGAUUGGAUCAACAAUGAAUAUGAGCUUGAGGCUUUGGUUGGCUUUGGUAUGGGUAUGGCAUAUGUUGUUGCCUUUUCAAGAAUUGUUUUUGUGAAUAUAUGAUAGAAAUUGCCGGAAAUAAAGAAAUUUGAUGAAAGUCUCAUAGGCUGCUGCUUUGAUCCUGAUGUGCUUGAGGGUUUGGUAUGGUUAUGGCAUAUGUUGCUACCUUUGUUAUAUUGACAAGCCUUGGGUUUUACGCAUGCCACAGUCAUUUGUAACUUUAGGUAGCAUGGAAUUUGAGGCAAUGGUUCAAUGCCCAAAUAUUACUGGUGCUUACUACAGGGAAGGUUAUAAGUUAUUGAAUGUAAUAUGUAAUGUAAUUGAUUGUAUUUUUCCUUGAUGGAAUGAUCACAAUCUUUUUCUUCUUUUUUUUUUCAAGAAUUGUGUUUACGAAUAUAUGACUGAAAUUACUGGAAAUAAAGAAAAUUGAUGAAAGUCU